UACGUAGGUGGCAAGCGAUACUCGGAAUCACUAGGCGUAAAGCGCAGGUAGGAGGUUUAGUAAGUCUGUUGUGAAAGCUCCCGGCUUAACUGGGAGAGGUCAACGGAAACUGCUAGGCUAGAGUGCGGUAGAGGUAGCUGGAAUUCCCGGUGUAGCGGUGAAAUGCGUAGAUAUCGGGAGGAAUACCUAUGGCGAAAGCAGGCUACUGGACCGCCACUGACUCUGAUCUGCGAAAGCUAGGGGAGCAAACAGG
rnacentral:rRNA from 1 species